rnacentral:rRNA from 1 species
AUUGAACGCUGGCGGCAUGCCUUACACAUGCAAGUCGGACGAGUGGCGAACGGGUGUGUAAUAUAUUGGAACGUACCAAGUAAUGGGGUAUACCCAAUAGAAAGGUUGGCUAAUACCGCAUAUUAUUCGAACGGCACAUAUCUGAUUAGCUAGUGGGUGGGGAAAGGGCACAUCAAGGCGACGAUCAGUAGCGGGUCUGAGAGGAUGACCCGCCACACUGGGACUGAGACACGGCCCAGACUCCUACGGGAGGCAGCAGUGGGGAAUUUUGCACAAUGGGCGCAAGCCUGAUUCAGCCAUGCCGCGUGUAUGAAGAAGGCCUUCGGGUUGUAAAGGACUUUUGUUAGGGAGGCGUUACCUACAGAAUAAGCACCGGCUAACUACGUGCCAGCAGCCGCGGUAAUUC